AGGUAGAGCAGUCCUAAUAUCUAUAUCAGGAAUUUAUUUAUGGUGAAAUAUCAGAAAGGAAAUUAAUCUCGAUAAUUGGGCAAUCUCAAAUGUUUAUCCCUGGAUUCCAGUUUUUUUCAAGCAUUUGAACGCCCAAUUGAACAAAUUUUGAAUUCUGGUCUUCAGAAUUCAGUGUUGAGUCUAGCACUGGAACUUUCAAACAAAUGCGAUGCCAAUCAUUUUCCCGUUUAGGAAAUGUUUGGUUUGAUGUUUAUGAUUUCCUUCGGUUUUUCUAUAACUAUUCACAAUAUCAUAGCUGUUAGACAGCUUAUCUUUGAAUUGAAUAACAAGUUGAGAGGGUUUCUCUUUCACUCCAAUUGCUUCGCUAUUCUUUUGAAUCAACGAAGUUAUUGAUGUCCUUACUUCUGUAUUGCUUCAAGAAUCAAUAGGUUUAAGGACGACUUUAUUCCCGCUCUUCUUACAAGAAAUAAUGGGUCCAAAGAUUGAGUUGCUUUUGGUUCUGAAUGUUUUCUUUCUCCUACAUGCUCCGUGCAUCAAGUUCACUCUAAAAGGUGAUGUAUGAAAUGGAGGUCUUUUAGUGUAGAAAAUAGACUCAGACUCUUAUCUGAAUGUAUGUUUGGUGGGGUGAUUAUAUUUUUGAUGCGUUGGAACUUGUGGAGAUUGGCUUUAUAGUUUGAUUUGUUUAAUAGUAGGAGAAAAGAAAUGAAUCCUAUGGACAUAGCCCCUCCGUUUAGCAAAGUAAUUUUCAAUGAUCCAGCUGACAAUCUUUCACAUGUAAGUGAUUGGGCCAGAAGCUCAAUUGAUGGUGACAGCACCACUACCACGUUCAACAUUUUCUGGGUUCGAAACCUCUACUUCCUUAAACAUCACAUGCAAGUGUGCAUUGUCCAGUACAUCUGCGUUGAGGAAUCACGGUACUGGAAAAUCACUUGAUGGGAUUGAUAAAUAGACAUUAAAAUAUGGGAAACAUGUACAGAAAUCUGAGCAAGAAAACUAGCUACAAAAGGCUUCCUCUUCACUACGAUUCACCAAAGAUAAUAAUAACAGAAUUUAAUGCAGGUGACAAAAUGACGUGGGAGAAACUCAAGCAACUCUUGUGAUCGAGAAACACCAAGAAUUCAACUGAAAAUUUAAUAUGUGCUUGGAAUAAGGAAUAGUUUCUGGCAUUGCCUGAAGAACCGCCAUAAAUCUUUCCUAUAUCCGCUUGAAGUAAAACGAUGUUUUAUAGUUUGAAGAUGCUUAGACUUUUUGGUGGCCUGAACCUCGUUGCUUUAAAAAUGUUUUAGUAGGGAGACAAGUUUUUGGAAACAUGCAUAAAGUGGACAAUUUUCAUCCUUUAUUGUUUAUAACUGACAGAAUUAUGCGGACAUGUCAACUAGACCAUCAAGAAUUUCUAAAAGAUUUCAAAAAAUCAUGUUUGGUUGUCUUUUAAUCACCGACUCCGACUGUUUCACUUUUUCCUACAAUUUGCUUCCUAGCACACAAUGGUCAGCGCUAUGGUUAGUCAUUUUUGGGUAAAGGAAAAUUCUCAACAUAGCUGUCAGCAUAUUUAUGUUUACAUGUAUAUCAUCACAUUCUUCUUGGAAUUUAACUAAUUAUACAGACUAAUGUAACAGGUGGACAUGAACUCAGCAAGACUACUGGGAAUGCUGGUGCAAGAGUUGGAUGUGGUAUAAUUGGGCUUCAAUCGGCGGUUUAGGCUCGUUUUGCUCAUGGAUAAUUGAUAGGUUCAUAAAAGAUACAUUGCAGAUUCUAUGGAAGUUGGCGUCAGUUUACAUGACCUUCUCUUUUCUGCUUUUGGCUCAAAAAGAGAGGGACCCAGAUUGUUGUUGGGGGUUGUUAAAGGCAGGCCAGAAUAUGGACUGCCCAAGCAUCUGAUUCACUCUGUAGAGAGUUUGGGCAUCUGGGUUCCAUUGUUAUUUGAUUUUCCAGUGCUCGUAUAAUGAUUGCACAAAUAUCUAUUUGGAGCUUGACCAAAGGUAGUGCUUGUAACUUCAUUGUAGAUACAAACGGUUAAAGAGUGUUUAUCCAUAUAUUUUCUUCUCCUGUA